rnacentral:rRNA from 1 species
GCAGGAAGAGAAAGAAAAAUCGAUUCCCUGAGUAGCGGCGAGCGAAACGGGAAUAGCCCAAACCAGUGUGCAUGCACACUGGGGUUGUAGGACUUUCAACAACGUGUAUGACAAUCUGUAGCAGAACCCUGUUGGAAAGCAGGACCAAAGAAGGUGACAGUCCUGUAUGCAAAACGGAAAGUUAGCACAAGAGAGCACCUGAGUACGGCGGGACACGAGGAAUCCCGUCGGAAUCCGCCAGGACCAUCUGGCAAGGCUAAAUACUACCUAGUGACCGAUAGUGAACCAGUACCGUGAGGGAAAGGUGAAAAGAACCCCGGGAGGGGAGUGAAAGAGUACCUGAAACCGUGUGCUUACAAGUAGUCAGAGCCCGUUAAUGGGUGAUGGCGUGCCUUUUGUAGAAUGAACCGGCGAGUUACGUUAACAUGCGAGGUUAAGAUGAAGAGUCGGAGCCGUAGCGAAAGCGAGUCUGAAUAGGGCGAAUUGAGUAUGUUGACGUAGACCCGAAACCAAGUGAUCUACCCAUGUCCAGGUUGAAGGUGCGGUAAAACGCACUGGAGGACCGAACCAGGGCACGUUGAAAAGUGCUUGGAUGAGGUGUGGGUAGCGGAGAAAUUCCAAUCGAACUUGGAGAUAGCUGGUUCUCUCCGAAAUAGCUUUAGGGCUAGCCUCGGAAUGAAGAAUCGUGGAGGUAGAGCACUGUUUGGACUAGGGGCCCAUCUCGGGUUACCGAAUUCAGAUAAACUCCGAAUGCCAUGUAUUUAUGUCCGGGAGUCAGACUGCGAGUGAUAAGAUCCGUAGUCGAAAGGGAAACAGCCCAGACCACCAGCUAAGGUCCCAAAAUAAUUGUUAAGUGGAAAAGGAUGUGGGGUUGCACAGACAACUAGGAUGUUAGCUUAGAAGCAGCUAUUCAUUCAAAGAGUGCGUAAUAGCUCACUAGUCGAGUGACCCUGCGCCGAAAAUGUACCGGGGCUAAAACAAUUUACCGAAGCUGUGGAUACCUUUAUAGGUAUGGUAGGAGAGCGUUCUAUGUGUGAAGAAGGUGUACCGUGAGGAGUGCUGGAACGCAUAGAAGUGAGAAUGCCGGUAUGAGUAGCGAAAGACAGGUGAGAAUCCUGUCCACCGUAAGACUAAGGUUUCCAGGGGAAGGCUCGUCCGCCCUGGGUUAGUCGGGACCUAAGGAGAGACCGAAAGGUGUAUCCGAUGGACAACAGGUUGAUAUUCCUGUACUAGAGUAUGUAGUGAUGGAGGGACGCAGUAGGCUAACUAAAGCAGACGAUUGGAAGUGUCUGUCUAAGCAGUGAGGUGUGAAUUGAGUCAAAUGCUUAAUUCUAUAACAUUGAGCUGUGAUGGGGAGCGAAGUUUAGUAGCGAAGUUAGUGACGUCACACUGCCAAGAAAAGCUUCUAGCGUUAAUCAUACUCUACCCGUACCGCAAACCGACACAGGUAGUCGAGGCGAGUAGCCUCAGGUGAGCGAGAGAACUCUCGUUAAGGAACUCGGCAAAAUGACCCCGUAACUUCGGGAGAAGGGGUGCUGGUAGCAAUACCAGCCGCAGUGAAUAGGCCCAGGCGACUGUUUAUCAAAAACACAGGUCUCUGCAAAAUCGAAAGAUGACGUAUAGGGGCUGACGCCUGCCCGGUGCUGGAAGGUUAAGAGGAGAGGUUAGCGCAAGCGAAGCUUUGAAUUGAAGCCCCAGUAAACGGCGGCCGUAACUAUAACGGUCCUAAGGUAGCGAAAUUCCUUGUCGGGUAAGUUCCGACCCGCACGAAAGGCGUAAUGAUUUGGGCACUGUCUCAACGAGAGACUCGGUGAAAUUUUAGUACCUGUGAAGAUGCAGGUUACCCGCGACAGGACGGAAAGACCCCAUGGAGCUUUACUGUAGUUUGAUAUUGAGUGUUUGUGUGACAUGUACAGGAUAGGUAGGAGCCGAAGAGAUGGGAACGCCAGUUUCCAAGGAGGCAAUGGUGGGAUACUACCCUUGUUACAUGAACCCUCUAACCCGCACCUAGAAGCAAGGUGGGAGACAGUGUCAGACGGGCAGUUUGACUGGGGCGGUCGCCUCCUAAAAUGUAACGGAGGCGCCCAAAGGUUCCCUCAGAAUGGUUGGAAAUCAUUCGAAGAGUGUAAAGGCAGAAGGGAGCUUGACUGCGAGACCAACAAGUCGAGCAGGGACGAAAGUCGGGCUUAGUGAUCCGGUGGUACCGUAUGGAAGGGCCAUCGCUCAACGGAUAAAAGCUACCCUGGGGAUAACAGGCUUAUCUCCCCCAAGAGUUCACAUCGACGGGGAGGUUUGGCACCUCGAUGUCGGCUCAUCGCAUCCUGGGGCUGAAGUCGGUCCCAAGGGUUGGGCUGUUCGCCCAUUAAAGCGGUACGCGAGCUGGGUUCAGAACGUCGUGAGACAGUUCGGUCCCUAUCCGUCGCGGGCGUAGGAAAUUUGAGAGGAGCUGUCCUUAGUACGAGAGGACCGGGAUGGA